rnacentral:rRNA from 1 species
UACGUAGGGACCAAGCGUUGUUCGGAUUUACUGGGCGUAAAGGGCGCGUAGGCGGCGUGGUAAGUCACUUGUGAAAUCUCUGAGCUUAACUCAGAACGGCCAAGUGAUACUGCUGUGCUAGAGUGCAGAAGGGGCAAUCGGAAUUCUUGGUGUAGCGGUGAAAUGCGCAGAUAUCAGGAGGAACACCUAUUGCGAAGGCAGCUCGCUGGGACGUAACUGACGCUGAGACGCGAAAGCGUGGGGAGCAAACAGG